rnacentral:lncRNA from 10 species
GUUUCCAUUUCUCUUAACGUUUAGAAGUUAAAUGAAAAAUGGAUUGUGGAUUAUAGCCUGAGCAGAUUUGAGCCUAAAUGUAAUAUAACAGCUUGUGGCAAAUGGAGGUAGCAGGAGAGUAGAGCCAACUAGCCAAAAAUCCCCUGGAAAGGUGAAACUGAAAUCACUCAUUCAUUCAAAAAGUGUUUACUGAGUAGCUUCAAAGAGCAAAUAUUAGGUUAGAUGCAGUGGGUGAUGUAAGGAUGAUUCAGACAACUAUUUCUCAUGGACUUUGCUUACUGAGCCAUCAACACACGGCCACCUUUUUCUAGAUGAAGUAUCCCAUCAUUUGAUUCUGGAUUGAGAACUCUUUGAGAGCAGAGACGAUGGCUUCACCUGAGUAUCCCCAGAGCCUGACGUUAGACAAAUUAAUGAUUCCUUAUCUAAG